rnacentral:rRNA from 1 species
AAUUGGAGGGCAAGUCUGGUGCCAGCAGCCGCGGUAAUUCCAGCUCCAAUAGCGUAUAUUAAAGUUGUUGCAGUUAAAAAGCUCGUAGUUGAAUUUCGGGGUUAGUAGGUUGGUCAUGCCUCUGGUAUGUACUGAUCUCACUGAUUCCUCCUUCCUUAUGAACCGUAAUGCCAUUAAUUUGGUGUUACGGGGAAUUAGGACUGUUACCUUGAAAAAAUUAGAGUGUUUAAAGCAGGCUCACGCUUGAAUACAUUAGCAUGGAAUAAUGAAAUAGGACGUUCGAUCUUAUUUUGUUGGUUUCUAGGAUUGACGUAAUGAUUAAUAGGGAUAGUUGGGGGCAUUAGUAUUCAAUUGUCAGAGGUGAAAUUCUUGGAUUUAUUGAAGACUAACUACUGCGAAAGCAUUUGCCAAGGAUGUUUUCAUUAAUCAAGAACGAAAGUUAGGGGAUCGAAGACGAUCAGAUACCGUCGUAGUCUUAACCAUAAACUAUGCCGACUAGGGAUCGGAUGAUGUUAAUUUUUUAAUGACUCAUUCGGCGCCUUACGGGAAACCAAAGUGU